CAUGAACUAAUGGAUAAGGAGGAGACAAUCAUAACUGCUUUGGAUUCAGCCCAUAGAAGGGCCAGAGGAGUCGCGCUGACACCUUCAUGUUUAAACAGAGGACACUUUUCUGCGUGCCACUAGAUGUAUAUCAGCCAUACCAAAAUGCUGCCUUUGCCUGAGACAGGGAAGAUGAAAUGACUUUGGGGAAAUGGAGAAUCAUUCAUGAAUCCAGUUACUUUCUGAUCUGACAGCUUUGUGGCAUCUGAAUGGAUAACAAUUUGAUCUGAUGUUGCCAGACCCGGUGAGCUAUUCCAGCAACUUUGUUUUAGUUCCUGAUGAGCUGCGACUUUGUACUUGACUGAUUUCCAACAUCAAAAGUUCUAAAUGUUGGAAGAGAUUGGUUUACCUUGACUUCCUAGCUUGAAAAUGUGCCUUUUAUGCAAAGAAACUGUACUCUGGGACAGUGGUUUUGCAGAUUUACCUGCAGGUCCAGCUGUGAAUCGGAGUUGAAGUAGUUGCAAGCACUGAUGAAUAGGCAGCUAUUUAGCCUCUGGAUGUAAUCCUGUGGAAGCGACGAGGGUCUAGGCCAUUGACUCGAGAACUGAUGAGGGAACGGCUUGCCCCAACCAGCUUCCCUUCAGGGGAACGCCAGCCUCAGGUCGCUCCCCUCAAGGGGUACAUCAUCCUGACCUUGC